rnacentral:rRNA from 1 species
CGGCAGCGCGGGAGCAAUCCUGGCGGCGAGUGGCGAACGGGUGAGUAAUACAUCGGAACGUGCCCAAUCGUGGGGGAUAACGCAGCGAAAGCUGUGCUAAUACCGCAUACGAUCUACGGAUGAAAGCAGGGGAUCGCAAGACCUUGCGCGAAUGGAGCGGCCGAUGGCAGAUUAGGUAGUUGGUGAGGUAAAGGCUCACCAAGCCUUCGAUCUGUAGCUGGUCUGAGAGGACGACCAGCCACACUGGGACUGAGACACGGCCCAGACUCCUACGGGAGGCAGCAGUGGGGAAUUUUGGACAAUGGGCGAAAGCCUGAUCCAGCCAUGCCGCGUGCAGGAUGAAGGCCUUCGGGUUGUAAACUGCUUUUGUACGGAACGAAACGGCCUUUUCUAAUAAAGAGGGCUAAUGACGGUACCGUAAGAAUAAGCACCGGCUAACUACGUGCCAGCAGCCGCGGUAAUACGUAGGGUGCAAGCGUUAAUCGGAAUUACUGGGCGUAAAGCGUGCGCAGGCGGUUAUGUAAGACAGUUGUGAAAUCCCCGGGCUCAACCUGGGAACUGCAUCUGUGACUGCAUAGCUAGAGUACGGUAGAGGGGGAUGGAAUUCCGCGUGUAGCAGUGAAAUGCGUAGAUAUGCGGAGGAACACCGAU